UGGGGAAUAUUGGACAAUGGGCGCAAGCCUGAUCCAGCCAUGCCGCGUGAGUGAUGAAGGCCUUAGGGUUGUAAAGCUCUUUCGCCGGUGAAGAUAAUGACGGUAACCGGAGAAGAAGCCCCGGCUAACUUCGUGCCAGCAGCCGCGGUAAUACGAAGGGGGCUAGCGUUGCUCGGAAUCACUGGGCGUAAAGCGCACGUAGGCGGAUCGUUAAGUCAGGGGUGAAAUCCUGGAGCUCAACUCCAGAACUGCCCUUGAUACUGGCGAUCUCGAGUUCGAGAGAGGUUGGUGGAACUCCGAGUGUAGAGGUGAAAUUCGUAGAUAUUCGGAAGAACACCAGUGGCGAAGGCGGCAACUGGCUCGAUACUGACGCUGAGGUGCGAAAGCGUGGGGAGCAAAACAGGAUUAGAUACCCUGGUAGUCCACGCCGUAAAAGCGAUGGAUGCUAGCCGUUGGGGGGUUUUACCUCNCAGUGGCGCAGCUAACGCCUUAAGCAUCCCGCCUGGGGGA
rnacentral:rRNA from 1 species